rnacentral:sRNA from 1 species
CUUUUCUGAAUAUGGUUUCGUACAAAAAAUCUCAACAUUUGAAAAGAACGCAGGUUUCCAGGCUUUGAUUCAGUUUUCUGAUAUUGAAUCUGCUUCUUCUGCUAAGGAAGCACUGGACGGAAAAAAAAUACCUAGGUCCUUGCUGCCAGACCGUAUUAGUGAUGGUAACUUUCGCAUUGCAUACUCAGGCCAUCGAGAUCUUAAUAUUAAGUUCCAAUCUAAUCGUAGCAGGGACUACACAAAUGCUACUCUUCCUGUUAACCAGGCUACUAUUGCAAGGGCAUUGCAGCCAAUACCUCGA